ACAUGACAGCCCGCUUGGAGUUUUCCAAAAGGCACCUAAAGGACUCUCAGACCAUGAGAAACAAGAUUCUCUGGUUUGAUGAAACCAAUAUUGAACUCUUUGGCCUGAAUGCCAAGCUUCAUGUCUGGAGGGAACCUAGCACCAUCCCUACGGUGAAGCAUUGUGGUGGCAGCAUCAUGUUGUGGGGAUGUUUUUCAGCGGCAGGGACUAGUCAGGAUCGAGGGAAAGAUGAACAGAGCAAAGUACAGAAAGAUCCUUGAGAAAAACCUGCUCCAGAGCGCUCAGGACCUCAGACUGGGCUGAAGGUUCACCUUCCAACAGGACAACGACCUGAAGCACACAGCCAAAACAACGCAGGAGUGGCUUCGGGACAGGUCUCUGAAUGUCAUUGAGUGGCCCAGCCAGAGAACGGACUUGAAUCCGAUCGAACGCUCCCCUUCCAACCUGACAGAGCUUGAGGAUCUGCAGGGAAGAAUGUGAGAAACUACCCAAAUACAGGUGCGUCAACCGUGUAACGUCAUACCCAAGAAGACUCGAGGAUAUCAUUGCUGCCAAAGGUGCUUCAACAAAUCAUUUUCAGCUCUUCAGGUCCUACUCACUGGAUGAGCAGAUCAAAGAACUGAUAGGACAGAAUUAAGAACUUGGUUCUUAGUCUGUGAGGGCACGCUUAAGAGGAGAGGGUCAGACAGUCUGAUCCUUGUCAACCCCCAGGGAGCUUCGAGGAGAGCCAUGCAGUAGCGGCUACACCGGACGCAGUUGCAUGGCACAAAUUCUUUGUGGCACAUCGAUGGCAACCAUAAGCUGAUCCGGCCUCUGACAACAACAAGAGUGCCACAGUUACGGAGUCAUUCCAAGCAGCCAUCACCAGCUACAGAGUACCAUCCUGGGUGAGAAGUAUCUGUGCCUUCAUGGAGCAGUUCAGGGGUGGUGAGAGGGGAAAUGCCCUCUCACUGCCCCAGCUUCAACCACCAUCACCUCUCAAGCCACCUCCACCUCAGCAAUGCCCCUGUGACAAUAAUUUUGGACCCCCUUUUGGCCCCCCUAAAUGUGGAGUAUGAAACACAUUUUUGCUAUCGUUCUUUUUUACAUCCGUUAUUAGACAGUGGCAACGAUGAUGAUUAUGAACAUGGUUUUUUGCCUGCUAAUGCCUGCAACGCGGUGAAGAAAGCGAUAUGACAACAAUAACGUCUAAUGUAACUGGCCCCACAGUACAACUGUUAGAGGGAUUCUCUGCCUCUAACCCUAUUACAGGGGCUGAGUCACUGGCUUACUGGUGUUCUUCCAUGCCGUCCCUAGGAGGGGUGCGUCACUUGAGUGGGUUGAGUCACUGACGUAGUCUUCCUGUCUGGGUUGGCGCCCCCCCUUGGGUUGUGCCGUGGCGGAGAUCUUUGUGGGCUAUACUCAGCAUUGUCUCAGAAUGGACCUGAGCCCUAAAACCAUGCCUCAGGACUACCUGGCAUGAUGACUCCUUGCUGUCCCCAGUCCACCUGGCCGUGCUGCUGCUCCAGUUUCAACUGUUCUGCCUGCGGCGAUGGAACCCUGACCUGUUCACCGGACGUGCUACCUGUCCCAGACCUGCUGUUUUCAACUCUCUAGAGACAGCAGGAGCGGUAGAGAUACUCUCAAAGAUCGGCUAUGAACAAGCCAACUUACUCUUGAGUUGCUGACUUGUUGCACCCUCAACAACUACUGUGAUUAUUAUUAUUUGACCAUGCUGGUCAUUUAUGAACAUUUGAACAUCUUGGCCAUGUUCUGUUAUAAUCAGCACCCCGGCACAGCCAGAAGAGGACUGGCCACCCCUCAUAGCCUAGUUCCUCUCUAGGUUUCUUCCUAGGUUUUGGCCUUUCUAGGGAGUUUUUCCUAGCCACCUACUUCUACACCUGCAUUGCUUGCUGUUUGGUGUUUUAGGCUGGGUUUCUGUACAGCACUUUGAGAUAUCAGCUGAUGUAAGAAGGGCUAUAUAAAUAAAUUUGAUUUGAACUGGCCCCAGUUGAAAUGGUCUAGAACCGCCACUGCUCAUUCCUACUCCAACCUGACUUACUACACCCCUGAUAUUCCCCUACAGGGACAAGGGAUCGGACACUAUAUCGUAAGUGCCACUCGUUCCUACUCCAACCUGACUUACUACACCCCUGAAACUCCCCUACUGGGACGAGGGAUUGGACGCUAUAUCUUCAGCGCCACCCGUUCCUUCGAGUCAGUUAAUUUUUAUAAUACUAUUUGAAAUGGUAACGACUCAUAUUUUUUUCAGUCCUUGAAUCAGUUAAUUUUUAUAACACCAAUAAUAACACCACCAAUUAGGAUGCCACCAUUAGUGAACUCUUCUUCAACCAGAGCUUUGGAAAACCCUCUCCUCCUUGCACAGAAACUGUUCCCGAGGAAACACUCCCCCGCAUUCACACACUGUAUGAUUUGGUCUCUAGAAAGGUACUACAGACAUGUUCAACCCUUAACAAAGAGUGUUAAGGUGUAUGGCCCCUCGGUGGGUUCAAUACAGUACCAGUCAAAAGUUUGUACACACCUGUACAUUAGACCGGUGGAAAUCUGUCCAAAUUUGAGAUUUUUGGUUCCAACUGCUGUGUCUUUGUUAGACGCAGAGUAGGUGAACGGAAGAUCUCUGCAUGUGUGGUUCCCACCGUGAAGCAUGGAGGAGGAGGUGUGGGGGUGCUUUGCUGGUGACACUCAGUGAUUUAUUUAGAAUUCAAGCAAAACUUAACCAGAAUGGCUACCGCAGCAUUCUGCAGCGAUACUCCAUCCCAUCUGGUUUGUGCUUAGCGAGACUCUAAUUAGUUUUUCAACAGGACAAUGACCCAACACACCUCCAGGCUGUGUAAGGGCCAUUUGAGUGCUGCAUCAGAUGACCUGGCCUACACAAUCACCUAACCUGGUUUGGAAUGAGUUGGACUGCAGAGUGAAGGAAAAGCCGCCCACAAGUGUGUUGAGGUUGGGGGGUUGUGGAGGCCAGGUCAUCUGAUGCAGCGCUCCAUCACUCUCCUUCUUGGCCAAAUAGCCAAAUAAUUAGGUAUGUUGGGUCAUUGUCCUGUUGAAAAACAAAUUAGAGUCCCACUAAGACUUUUUGAAGGUUAUUUUACUGAUUUAAUGAUCAUGGACUGUUUCCCUGUGUAUAUUAGGAUACAUUUUAUUACAUUUAAAUAAUGUUUCAGUAUCUUUAGUGUCACGUCCUGACCAUAGUAAGUUGUUAUUUUCUAUGGUAGAGUGGUCAGGGCGUGACAGGGGGUGUUUAUCUGUUUUUGUAUGUCUAUGUUCAGUUCUAGAUUUUGUAUUUCUAUGUUGGUCGUUGUUUGGCAUGACCUCCAAUUAGAGGCAGCUGGUUGUUGUUGUCUCUAAUUGGAGGCCAUAUUUAAGUUGAUGUUUGUCCCACCUGUCCUUGUGCGUGAUUAUAUAUUUUGAGUAGUGUGUUUUUUUCCUCUCUGCGUCACGGUUUGUUGUUUUUUUGUUAGUUAAAGUAUUUAUGUAUUGUUUCACGGUUAUAAUAAAUAUGUGGAACGAAAACGCUGCAUCUUGGUCCGCUCCUUAUCACAGCUGUGACAUUUAGAGUAUCCUGUGAGGCAGAUCAAAGUGCUCUAUAGUCAGGAGGAGAGCAGCUUCUUGAAGAUUUUGGGGGAAACAUUCCCCCAGAUGAAUCCAAAUGUAGAGGCCUUUAAGACAAGACAGGAGGAGGCUUGUUCCAGCUGCAAUCAAAUCAGCUGGGCUAGGGAGGUCUGCCCUGUACUUAAGAUUGAAGGAAACAAAGGGAGGAGACAACCUCGGAGGCAGAGACUCUGCCUAUGGCGUUAGGCCUCCCUGUUGACUCUCGACAAGCUUCAGUGACACUAGAGUCUCUAGAGGAAACAUUGGAGAUACGGCGUCUUAGUCUUCAAGACCAUCUCUCUCUGGCUGCAGAACAGGAGAAAGAGAUGGAACGUUGUCGUUUUGAGAAGUGGGAGAGCAGGCGGGGGAAGUUGAUAGAGGAGACAAGACCGCAGGUUGUCUCUCAUCCAGAGCUGCCCUUUAAGAUCAAAUACCCGGAUGGGAGGAAGCGGAUUAGGAGAUUUCAGCUCUCUGAAUCCAUUCAGCCUCCAGGCAGCAGUGGGAUUCGCAACCCUGAAGAGCACGAUUAACGGGUCAUUGGAGGAACAUGACAUUCGGGAGUCCACAACACUGUAUGUGUUCUGGUUGUCUGUGGAGGAUGUGCAGGCACUUCAUGAGGGACAUCAGGGACUCGGCCAUCUUCGAGGGUCCGGAAGGAGUGAAACGACUGUCCCUUGAUGUCAUGCAACCAGUGAUCUGGGUCAACAGAAUCAAUGGGAUCAACUUUU
rnacentral:lncRNA from 1 species